AGUCGAGCGGACCGACGGGAGCUUGCUCCCUUAGGUCAGCGGCGGACGGGUGAGUAACACGUGGGUAACCUGCCUGUAAGACUGGGAUAACUCCGGGAAACCGGGGCUAAUACCGGAUGCUUGAUUGAACCGCAUGGUUCAAUCAUAAAAGGUGGCUUUUAGCUACCACUUACAGAUGGACCCGCGGCGCAUUAGCUAGUUGGUGAGGUAACGGCUCACCAAGGCGACGAUGCGUAGCCGACCUGAGAGGGUGAUCGGCCACACUGGGACUGACACACGGCCCAGACUCCUACGGGAGGCAGCAGUAGGGAAUCUUCCGCAAUGGACGAAAGUCUGACGGAGCAACGCCGCGUGAGUGAUGAAGGUUUUCGGAUCGUUAAACUCUGUUGUUAGGGAAGAACAAGUACCGUUCGAAUAGGGCGGCACCUUGACGGUACCUAACCAGAAAGCCACGGCUAACUACGUGCCAGCAGCCGCGGUAAUACGUACGUGGCAAGCGUUGUCCGGAAUUAUUGGGCGUAAAGCGCGCGCAGGCGGUUUCUUAAGUCUGAUGUGAAAGCCCCCGGCUCAACCGGGGAGGACAUUGGAACUGGGGAACUUGAGUGCUAAGAGGAAGUGGAAUUCACGUGUAGCGGUGAAAUGCGUAGAGAUGUGGAGGAACACCAGUGGCGAAGCGACUCUCUGGUCUGCACUGACGCUGAGGCGCGAAAACGUGGGGAGCUAACAGGAUU
rnacentral:rRNA from 1 species